GAUGCCCUGCUGUGCGCGUGAUGCGGUUAAGUUUUGAGCCAACACCUAACGUUACGGGGGUCGCGUUCUAGUGGAGGGGAUGCGGUAACCUGCAAAGGUUUGCUGAACCGAAGACAGACUCCCACCUGCGAGAGCAGGUUCAAAAUUUAAGUAGCACACGGCACAGCGGGGAAUUU
rnacentral:other from 1 species